AUAUCCCUCGUCUUUGGUCGAGACGAAAUGUUUAUGCAUUAUUAACUCCCGGCUUCUGCCGGGUUCAUUUACUACAGCAGCCAUGAAAUAGAGAUCAUUUGGCGCAGACAGCGGAAUCACAAGUAUGUCACUGUCAAUAUUUCAGACAUUUAUGAAAAUUUGAUGCUUGAGCGUCUGGCUUUCAACAAAUCUAUUACCAUGCAGAUUCGCAAAGUUGGGAGUUAUUUGAACAGAAAAGUUGAAAAGUUUCGAGACAAGCGCUUUGUGUUCGCGUACAAUGGUAAAUACUCUCAAAGUCUCCGGAGAGAAACGUCCGGCUUGAGUUACAACGGAUUGAUAGAAAUGGUUUUUCUCACAGGUCAAACGCCAUAACCUCGAAGACUUGGGGCAAAUAAAUCCGGGAGAUGGCUUUACGACUCUUUGUUUUUCCUUAAACGUACGGAUGAGGUGAUAUCGAUAUCAAUGAUUUAUUCAGUGUUUACGUGCCGGAGUAAUCUCUAUUCGUGUCACAACUUUAUUACGACUUGUGUAAUUUAUGAAAAUGAAAAUUGCGUUUUUCGGAG